rnacentral:rRNA from 1 species
GACGAACGCUGGCGGCGUGCUUAACACAUGCAAGUCGAACGGAAAGGCCCUGCUUUUGUGGGGUGCUCGAGUGGCGAACGGGUGAGUAACACGUGUGUAACCUGCCCUUGACUUUGGGAUAACUUCAGGAAACUGGGGCUAAUACCGGAUAGGAUCUCCUGCUGCAUUGUGGGUGUUGGAAAGUUUCGGCGGUUGGGGAUGGACUCGCGGCUUAUCAGCUUGUUGGUGGGGUAGUGGCUUACCAAGGCUUUGACGGGUAGCCGGCCUGAGAGGGUGACCGGCCACAUUGGGACUGAGAUACGGCCCAGACUCCUACGGGAGGCAGCAGUGGGGAAUAUUGCACAAUGGGCGGAAGCCUGAUGCAGCAACGCCGCGUGCGGGAUGACGGCCUUCGGGUUGUAAACCGCUUUCGCCUGUGACGAAGCGUGAGUGACGGUAAUGGGUAAAGAAGCACCGGCUAACUACGUG